UACGGAGGGGGCAAGCGUUAUUCGGAAUUAUUGGGCGUAAAGGGCGCGUAGGCGGCUAGAUGUGUCAAAGGUGAAAUCCCUCGGCUCAACUGAGGAACUGCCUUUGAAACUGUCUGGCUUGAGGCCGGGGGAGGGUAGCGGAAUUCCCAGUGUAGCGGUGAAAUGCGUAGAUAUUGGGAGGAACACCAGUGGCGAAGGCGGCUACCUGGACCGGUUCUGACGCUGAGGCGCGAAAGCGUGGGUAGCAAACAGG
rnacentral:rRNA from 1 species